UCGGGAAAGGUGAAGGGUCUGUGCGCAAUCCGAAAGAGGGGAGGUUCUGAUGGAUCGGCAGCGCUUUGGACCAAUGAAAGUCGGCAACAGCUUCUGUCCGUCGGCGAUGUAAGCGAGAAGAGAGGGUGAAAAGUUAGGCGGAGCUUAAGGUGACUGGCAGAUGGAUGGACAAUUUGUGUUUUGUCCAAUCAGCACUUCACACACAGAGAUACGGGAGACGGAGGCGGGAUUUGGCGUGUAUGUGGAAGAGUGAGUACAACGAGAGGAAUAGUAAUCAUGCUAAGGCACCUAUUGCUAUAGCCCAGUAAAACAGCGGAAGAUGCCAAAGGAAGAUGUCUUCAAGGAAAAGAAGGGAAGGAAUGUGAUGGAGGAAACCUGUCAAUCAAGAAGGGAAUGCUUUAGGGAAUGUGAGCUUCCUGCCUCAAAAUUUUGAAAUGGAAAAGGAAAGCUUAUGAUCAGAAAGUGACCUGUUGUGUUUGUGGAAGCUCUGGAAUCCCACAGGAGAAGGAUCACUCAACACCAUGGCAAUCUGCCAAGUACAACUUGUUCUGAAACAUAGUGGCUCUGAGAAGAUGCAUUAUCAUCUGAAACACAAUGUCAUCAUAGUGGGAGGAACAGGACAUGAACUGGCCUUCCACCCUGCUCACCUGAUUGUUUUCUGUGAGGAGUCCAGCUACCAAAAUAUAUGUGUCCUGCCCUUUGCUGCCUCCCGGGUUUGCUGUUCCAUGUUUUGGCAUCCAUGCAGCUGGCAUUUGAACUACACUGUAGCCCUCAGGGGAAGAAGUGACAGAUUUUGUUUAGGAUCAGCAGCUCUUUUUAAAAGAUAAAUUGCUAUUUCUUUUGUUUUGAGAGGUUAAAUUUUGAAACUGUCAAUUUUGAUUGUGUGGCUUUAAAUAAUUGAGUAUUAUAUAUAACAGGAUCUGAUCCUGCAAAUCCAUACUAGUGUGAGUAGUUACCAGGGGCAGCUCCAGGCACCAGCACGCCAAGCACG